UGGAACUGCGUGCAUUGUACAUAUCUCUUCUGUGUCUAUGUCCCACAAUUGCGUGCUUGUCUACUGGUUUCCCUAGGUUUAUCCAAUUUCUGUUCGAGCGGGCUCCACUUACUCCGUCGACAGUUAAGCGCGGGUUUUUCUUGCGUCCUCCGACUGACUUCUCCGACAAGUCCCGGCACAGAUAUGCACAUACUAACCUCUCGCCUGUGCUGCUACUUUCUGCGUGCAUCUGCAUCUGUCUCUACGUCGCUCAUAGCAACAGUGACUUUGUGGUGUCAACGUCCAACUAAAGCAAAAAUCUCCCUGUUUGUA